UUAUAAGAGACAGCAGUCGCCGCGGUAAUACAGAGGGUGCGAGCGUUAAUCGGAUUUACUGGGCGUAAAGCGUGCGUAGGCGGCUUCUUAAGUCGGAUGUGAAAUCCCUGAGCUUAACUUAGGAAUUGCAUUCGAUACUGGGAAGCUAGAGUAUGGGAGAGGAUGGUAGAAUUCCAGGUGUAGCGGUGAAAUGCGUAGAGAUCUGGAGGAAUACCGAUGGCGAAGGCAGCCAUCUGGCCUAAUACUGACGCUGAGGUACGAAAGCAUGGGGAGCAAACAGGAUUAGAUACCCCUGUAGUCCCUGUCUCUUAUAA
rnacentral:rRNA from 1 species